GCUCUCUAGUGGCUGGUGCCCCAUCGCCGUUCAGCCCCAUCCCAGGCCAUGCGUGUGUGACGCUGAUUAGAGCCUUGACGGAAACCUCAGCCAGUAGUCUGCGAAAUGAGAAGAGUCUUCCCGGUUUUGACCCUUGCCUGUUUUUUUCUGGACUUCAUACCUGCCUGCCUGACACUUCUGCCUGCUCUGACAUCGAGCCUGUCUGCCACUCUUUACCUCUUGGACUCAGAGUCUGGUUUUGGCCUUUUUCCUGUCCACGACCAUUCUCUUGCCUACUCUUUUUGGAUUAUAAAUAAACUACAAAGACUCUAAC